rnacentral:rRNA from 1 species
UACGUAGGGUGCGAGCGUUGUCCGGAAUUAUUGGGCGUAAAGAGCUUGUAGGCGGUUUGUCGCGUCUGCCGUGAAAGCCCAGGGCUUAACCCUGGGUCUGCGGUGGGUACGGGCAGACGUAGAGUGUGGUAGGGGAGAUUGGAAUUCCUGGUGUAGCGGUGGAAUGCGCAGAUAUCAGGAGGAACACCGAUGGCGAAGGCGGCGACCUGGGUAGAUACUGACGCUGAGGUGCGAAAGCGUGGGGAGCAAACAGG